rnacentral:rRNA from 1 species
CCUACGGGUGGCAGCAGUGAGGAAUAUUGGUCAAUGGCCGGAAGGCUGAACCAGCCAAGCCGCGUGAAGGACGAAGGUGCCAAGCAUUGUAAACUUCUUUUGUCAAGGGACAAAAUCAGGCUCGAGAGCCUGACCGAGGGUACUUUACGAAAAAGCAUCGGCUAACUCCGUGCCAGCAGCCGCGGUAAUACGGAGGAUGCGAGCGUUAUCCGGAUUUAUUGGGUUUAAAGGGUGCGUAGGCGGACUGUUAAGUCAGCGGGAAAAGCCCGGGGCUCAACCCCGGCGAGCCGUUGAAACUGGCGGGCUUGAGACGUCGAGAGGUAUGCGGAAUGCGCAGUGUAGCGGUGAAAUGCUUAGAUAUUGCGCAGAACUCCGAUUGCGAAGGCAGCAUACCGGAGGCGAUCUGACGCUGAGGCACGAAAGCGUGGGUAUCGAACAGGAUUAGAUACCCGUGUAGUC